rnacentral:rRNA from 1 species
AUUGAACGCUGGCGGCAGGCUUAACACAUGCAAGUCGAGCGGGGACUUCGGUCCUAGCGGCGAACGGGUGAGGAAUGCUUGGGAAUCUGCCCAGUAGCGGGGGAUAACGUUUCGAAAGGAACGCUAAUACCGCAUACGCCCUACGGGGGAAAGGGGGGGAUCUUCGGACCUCCCACUAUUGGAUGAGCCCAAGUCGGAUUAGCCAGUUGGUGAGGUAAAGGCUCACCAAGGCGACGAUCCGUAGCUGGUCUGAGAGGAUGAUCAGCCACACUGGAACUGAGACACGGUCCAGACUCCUACGGGAGGCAGCAGUGGGGAAUAUUGGACAAUGGGCGAAAGCCUGAUCCAGCCAUGCCGCGUGUGUGAAGAAGGCCUUCGGGUUGUAAAGCACUUUAAGCGAGGAGGAAUGGCUCCGGGUUAAUACCCUUGAGCAUAGACGUUACUCGCAGAAUAAGCACCGGCUAACUCUGUGCCAGCCGCCGCGGUAA